UCCUACGGGAGGCAGCAGUGGGGAAUAUUGCACAAUGGGCGCAAGCCUGAUGCAGCGACGCCGCGUGAGGGAUGACGGCCUUCGGGUUGUAAACCUCUUUCAGUAGGGAAGAAGCGAAAGUGACGGUACCUGCAGAAGAAGCACCGGCUAACUACGUGCCAGCAGCCGCGGUAAUACGUAGGGUGCGAGCGUUAUCCGGAAUUAUUGGGCGUAAAGAGCUCGUAGGCGGUUUGUCGCGUCUGUCGUGAAAGUCCGGGGCUUAACCCCGGAUCUGCGGUGGGUACGGGCAGACUAGAGUGCAGUAGGGGAGACUGGAAUUCCUGGUGUAGCGGUGGAAUGCGCAGAUAUCAGGAGGAACACCGAUGGCGAAGGCAGGUCUCUGGGCUGUAACUGACGCUGAGGAGCGAAAGCAUGGGGAGCGAACAGGAUUAGAUACCCUGGUAGUCCAUGCCGUAAACGUUGGGCACUAGGUGUGGGGACCAUUCCACGGUUUCCGGCGCCGCAGCUAACGCAUUAAGUGCCCCGCCUGGGGAGUACGGCCGCAAGGCUAAAACUCAAAGGAAUUGACGGCGGGCGGGGGCGG
rnacentral:rRNA from 1 species